AACGUAGGACGUAAGCGUUAUCCGGAGUUACUGGGCGUAAAGCGCGGGCAGGCGGUCUUGCCAGUCUGAUGUGAAAUCUCCCCGCUCAACGGGGAGCAGCCAUUGGAAACUACAAGACUGGAGUCUGACAGAGGUAGGCGGAAUUCCGGGUGGAGUGGUGAAAUGCGUAGAGAUCCGGAGGAACACCAGAGGCGAAGGCGGCCUACUGGGUCAGUACUGACGCUGAGCCGCGAAAGCGUGGGGAGCGAACAGG
rnacentral:rRNA from 1 species